rnacentral:rRNA from 1 species
CUGCAGCUUGCUGCGGGUACUCGAGUGGCGAACGGGUGAGUAACACGUGGGUGAUCUGCCUUGCACUUCGGGAUAAGCUUGGGAAACUGGGUCUAAUACCGGAUAGGACAGCUGUUUAGUGUCAGUUGUGGAAAGUUUUUUCGGUGCAAGAUGAGCUCGCGGCCUAUCAGCUUGUUGGUGGGGUAAUGGCCUACCAAGGCGUCGACGGGUAGCCGGCCUGAGAGGGUGUACGGCCACAUUGGGACUGAGAUACGGCCCAGACUCCUACGGGAGGCAGCAGUGGGGAAUAUUGCACAAUGGGCGGAAGCCUGAUGCAGCGACGCCGCGUGGGGGAUGAAGGCCUUCGGGUUGUAAACUCCUUUCGACAGGGACGAAGCGUAAGUGACGGUACCUGUAUAAGAAGCACCGGCUAACUACGUGCCAGCAGCCGCGGUAAUACGUAGGGUGCGAGCGUUGUCCGGAAUUACUGGGCGUAAAGAGCUCGUAGGUGGUUUGUCGCGUCGUCUGUGAAAUUCCGGGGCUUAACUCCGGGCGUGCAGGCGAUACGGGCUGACUUGAGUGCUGUAGGGGAGACUGGAAUUCCUGGUGUAGCGGUGAAAUGCGCAGAUAUCAGGAGGAACACCGAUGGCGAAGGCAGGUCUCUGGGCAGUAACUGACGCUGAGGAGCGAAAGCAUGGGUAGCGAACAGGAUUAGAUACCCUGGUAGUCCAUGCCGUAAACGGUGGGCGCUAGGUGUAGGGGGCUUCCACGUCUUCUGUGCCGUAGCUAACGCAUUAAGCGCCCCGCCUGGGGAGUACGCCGCAAG